AUAAGGCCAAAUGGAAAAUUCCUCAAGCCAGAUGUUGUCCCAUUACCUUAUCAUACAACAUUCGAGAUUUCAAAUGAAAGUUCAGACACAGUAUCCGAACAAGAAGAUAGUCGUAUCAGCCCAACUACAGAGACAAUGUGAGUUCUUGAGACUGCCUCAUAGUUUGAAAACGAACUUUACAAAUUAACUUUUGUUGAAUCACCAUACCAAGAUAGAGGAGAAAGAGGUGCUAUUUUAGCGAUAUGUCAAGCAGUGAUUUCUUGACACCAGAGAAGUGACUAAGAUACUUUACCAGAACCAAUAAAAGUAUUAGAUUUUAUGUAAGUCUGCAUUAAUGGUUCAUGGAAGAUGCCUGUUGGAUACUUCUUAUUGAAUGGAUUAUCUGCAGUGGAAAAAUUAAAAUUAUUGAAAAAAAUGCCUUGAAUUCAUCAA